rnacentral:rRNA from 1 species
AUUGAACGCUGGCGGCAGGCCUAACACAUGCAAGUCGAGCGAGCGGCGGACGGGUGAGUAAUGUAUGGGUACUGCUUGAUAGAGGGGGAGAACUACUGGAAACGGUGGCCAAUACCGCCUACUCUCGGAUAAUCUAUAUGGGAUUAGCUAGUGGGUAAGGUAAUGGCGUACCUAGGCGACGAUCCCUAGCUGGUCUGAGAGGAUGAUCAGCCACACUGGAACUGAGACACGGUCCAGACUCCUACGGAGGCAGCAGUGGGGAAUAUUGCACAAUGGGCGAAAGCCUGAUGCAGCCAUGCCGCGUGUGUGAAGAAGGCCCUAGGGUUGUAAAGUACUUUCAGUCGGGAGGCGUUACCGACAGAAGAAGCACCGGCUAACUCCGUGCCAGCAGCCGCGGUAAUUC